rnacentral:rRNA from 1 species
UACAGAGGGUGCGAGCGUUAAUCGGAAUUACUGGGCGUAAAGCGUGCGUAGGCGGUUAUUUAAGUCGGGUGUGAAAGCCCCGGGCUCAACCUGGGAAUUGCAUUCGAGACUGAAUAGCUAGGGUACGGUAGAGGGAAGCGGAAUUUCCGGUGUAGCGGUGAAAUGCGUAGAUAUCGGAAGGAAGACCAGUGGCGAAGGCGGGUCUCUGGACAGUUCCUGACGCUGAGGCACGAAGGUCAGGGGAGCAAACGGG